rnacentral:misc_RNA from 1 species
UAACCAGUCAAGCCCGGCUUGGUGUUGGGGCUCGCGGUCCCGCGGCCCUUGAAAUCAGUGGCGGUGCCGUCUGGCCCUGAGCGUAGUAAUCUCUCUCGCUACAGCGCCCGGCGGUCGCCUGCCAGAACCCCCCCACUCCACGG